rnacentral:rRNA from 1 species
AGUGAACGCUGGCGGUAGGCCUAACACAUGCAAGUCGAACGGCAGCACAGUAAGAGCUUGCCCUUACGGGUGGCGAGUGGCGGACGGGUGAGGAAUACAUCGGAAUCUACUUUUUCGUGGGGGAUAACGUAGGGAAACUUACGCUAAUACCGCAUACGACCUACGGGUGAAAGCAGGGGAUCUUCGGACCUUGCGCGAUUGAAUGAGCCGAUGUCGGAUUAGCUAGUUGGCGGGGUAAAGGCCCACCAAGGCGACGAUCCGUAGCUGGUCUGAGAGGAUGAUCAGCCACACUGGAACUGAGACACGGUCCAGACUCCUACGGGAGGCAGCAGUGGGGAAUAUUGGACAAUGGGCGCAAGCCUGAUCCAGCCAUACCGCGUGGGUGAAGAAGGCCUUCGGGUUGUAAAGCCCUUUUGUUGGGAAAGAAAAGCAGCGGGUUAAUACCCCGCUGUUCUGACGGUACCCAAAGAAUAAGCACCGGCUAACUUCGUG